UACGUAGGGUGCGAGCGUUGUCCGGAAUUAUUGGGCGUAAAGAGCUCGUAGGCGGUUUGUUGCGUCUAUCGUGAAAACCUGCAGCUUAACUGUGGGCUUGCGGUGGAUACGGGCAGACUUGAGUUCGGUAGGGGAGACUGGAAUUCCUGGUGUAGCGGUGAAAUGCGCAGAUAUCAGGAGGAACACCGGUGGCGAAGGCGGGUCUCUGGGCCGAUACUGACGCUGGGGAGCGAAAGCGUGGGGAGCGAACAGG
rnacentral:rRNA from 1 species